UACGGGGGGGAGCAAGCGUUGUUCGGAUUUACUGGGCGUAAAGGGCGCGUAGGCGGCCACCGCAAGUCAGUUGUGAAAUCUCUGGGCUUAACCCAGAAAGGUCAACUGAUACUGCGGGGCUAGAGUGCAGAAGGGGCAACUGGAAUUCUCGGUGUAGCGGUGAAAUGCGUAGAUAUCGAGAGGAACACCUGCGGCGAAGGCGGGUUGCUGGG
rnacentral:rRNA from 1 species